AUUGUUUAUCAGCCUUCUGGCUAUGAUCAAGUAUAGUACCCAUUUAUAUCAGUUUGAUAUCUCCUGUUCCUCUAUCUGAGAACAGUGUAUUUGAUGGUUUUUUCCAGCUGGGAGAUAGAAUAAGAACUUGAUUCCCUGAUUCCAGAAAUUCUAGUACUUCAGUACUUCUGGAAAUGUGGACCACUC